AUGCUCACUUCAGCAGCACAUAUAUUACAAUGGGAAUGGCACGGAGAAGAUUAGCAUGGUCCCUGUGCAAGGAUGACACACAAAUAUUCGAAGCAUUCCAUACUUUA